GAUGAACGCUAGCUACAGGCUUAACACAUGCAAGUCGCGGGGUAACAUCUGGUAGAGCUUGCUCUUCCAGGAUGACGACCGGCGCACGGGUGAGUAACGCGUAUCCAACCUGGCCCAUACCACGGGAUAGCCCGUCGAAAGGCGGAUUAAUACCGUAUGCUGUCAUUAAGAUGCAUAUAUUGAUGACGAAAGGACUGGCGGUAUGGGAUGGGGAUGCGUCUGAUUAGCUUGUUGGCGGGGUAACGGCCCACCAAGGCGACGAUCAGUAGGGGUUCUGAGAGGAAGGUCCCCCCACAUUGGAACUGAGACACGGUCCAAACUCCUACGGGAGGCAGCAGUGAGGAAUAUUGGUCAAUGGGCGCAAGCCUGAACCAGCCAAGUAGCGUGAGGGAAGACUGCCCUACGGGUUGUAAACCUCUUUGUUGGGAUAAAGUGCGGACGUGUCCCGCAUUGCAUGUACCAUUUGAAUAAGGGACCGGCUAAAUUCCGUGCCAGCAGCCG
rnacentral:rRNA from 1 species